rnacentral:rRNA from 1 species
AGCGAACGCUGGCGGCAGGCUUAACACAUGCAAGUCGAGCGGGCACUUUCGGGUGUCAGCGGCGGACGGGUGAGUAACGCGUGGGAACGUGCCCUCUGGUUCGUAAUAACUCAGGGAAACUUGAGCUAAUACCGGCUACUCCCUUUUGGGUAAAGGCUUGCUGCCGGAGGAUCGGCCCGCGUCUGAUUAGCUAGUUGGUGCGGUAACGGCUCACCAAGGCGACGAUCAGUAGCUGGUCUGAGAGGAUGAUCCGCCACACUGGUACUGAGACACGGCCCAGACUCCUACGGGAGGCAGCAGUGGGGAAUAUUGGACAAUGGGCGCAAGCCUGAUCCAGCCAUGCCGCGUGAGUGAUGAAGGCCUUAGGGUUGUAAAGCUCUUUUAUCCGGGACGAUAAUGACGGUACCGGAGGAAUAAGCCCCGGCUAACUUCGUGC